AUUGAACGCUGGCGGCAGGCUUAACACAUGCAAGUCGAGCGGUAACAGAGAGAAGCUUGCUUCUCUGCUGACGAGCGGCGGACGGGUGAGUAAUGCCUAGGAAUCUGCCUAGUAGUGGGGGAUAACUUGCCGAAAGGUAAGCUAAUACCGCAUACGUCCUACGGGGAGAAAGGAGGGGGACUCUUCGGAGCCUUUCGCUAUUAGAUGAGCCUAGGUCGGAUUAGUUAGUUGGUGAGGUAAUGGCUCACCAAGACCGCGAUCCGUAACUGGUCUGAGAGGAUGAUCAGUCACACUGGAACUGAGACACGGUCCAGACUCCUACGGGAGGCAGCAGUGGGGAAUAUUGGACAAUGGGGGAAACCCUGAUCCAGCCAUGCCGCGUGUGUGAAGAAGGUCUUAGGAUUGUAAAGCACUUUAAGUUGGGAGGAGGGCAGUUAACUAAUAUUUGACUGUUUUGACGUUACCGACAGAAUAAGCACCGGCUAACUUCGUGCCAG
rnacentral:rRNA from 1 species